rnacentral:rRNA from 1 species
AUUGAACGCUGGCGGCAUGCUUUACACAUGCAAGUCGAACGGCAGCACGGGGGCAACCCUGGUGGCGAGUGGCGAACGGGUGAGUAACACAUCGGAACGUGUCCUCUUGUGGGGGAUAACCUGGCGAAAGCCAGGCUAAUACCGCAUGAGCUCGAGAGAGGAAAGCGGGGGAUCGAAAGACCUCGCGCGGGAGGAGCGGCCGAUGUCCGAUUAGCUAGUUGGUGGGGUAAAGGCCCACCAAGGCGACGAUCGGUAGCUGGUCUGAGAGGAUGAGCAGCCACACUGGGACUGAGACACGGCCCAGACUCCUACGGGAGGCAGCAGUGGGGAAUUUUGGACAAUGGGGGCAACCCUGAUCCAGCCAUGCCGCGUGAGUGAAGAAGGCCUUCGGGUUGUAAAGCUCUUUCGGUGGGAACGAAACGGGCACGGCUAAUACCCGUGUUCAAUGACGGUACUCACAGAAGAAGCACCGGCUAACUACGUGCCAGCCGCCGCCGUAAAAC